UAGUGAGUUUGAUCCUGGCUCAGAACGAACGCUGGCGGCAUGCCUAACACAUGCAAGUCGAACGAAGCCUUCGGGCUUAGUGGCGCACGGGUGCGUAACGCGUGGGAAUCUGCCCUUGGGUUCGGAAUAACUCAGGGAAAUUUGAGCUAAUACCGGAUAAUGUCUUCGGACCAAAGAUUUAUCGCCCAAGGAUGAGCCCGCGUAGGAUUAGCUAGUUGGUAGGGUAAAGGCCUACCAAGGCGACGAUCCUUAGCUGGUCUGAGAGGAUGAUCAGCCA
rnacentral:rRNA from 1 species